rnacentral:misc_RNA from 1 species
GAUGAAGAACGCAGCGAACUGCGAUAAGUAAUGUGAAUUGCAGAAUUCAGUGAAUCAUCGAGUCUUUGAACGCACAUUGCCCCCCCUGGCAUUCCGGGGGGCAUGCCUGUCCGAGCGUCAUUGCUGCCCUUCAAGCCCGGCUUGUGUGUUGGGUCGUCGUCCCCCCCGGGGGACGGGCCCGAAAGGCAGCGGCGGCACCGCGUCCGGUCCUCGAGCGUAUGGGGCUUUGUCACCCGCUCGAUUAGGGCCGGCCGGGCGCCAGCCGGCGUCUCCAACCUUCUAUUUUACCAGGUUGACCUCGGAUCAGGUAGGGAUACCCGCUGAACUUAAGCAUAUCAAUAAGCGGAGGA